GACGAACGCUGGCGGCGUGCUUAACACAUGCAAGUCGAACGGAAAGGCCUUGCUUUUGUGGGGUGCUCGUGUGGCGAACGGGUGAGUAACACGUGAGUAACCUGCCCUUGACUUUGGGAUAACUUCAGGAAACUGGGGCUAAUACCGGAUAGGAGCUCCUGCUGCAUGGUGGGGGUUGGAAAGUUUCGGCGGUUGGGGAUGGACUCGCGGCUUAUCAGCUUGUUGGUGGGGUAGUGGUUUACCAAGGCUUUGACGGGUAGCCGGACUGAGAGGGUGACCGGCCACAUUGGGACUGAGAUACGGCCCAGACUCCUACGGGAGGCAGCAGUGGGGAAUAUUGCACAAUGGGCGGAAGCCUGAUGCAGCAACGCCGCGUGCGGGAUGACGGCCUUCGGGUUGGAAACCGCGUUCGCCUGUGACGAAGCGUGAGUGACGGUAAUGGGUAAAGAAGCACCGGCUAACUACGUG
rnacentral:rRNA from 1 species